rnacentral:tRNA from 1 species
GUCGGAGUGGCGGAAUUGGCAGACGCGCAGGGCUUAGGACCCUGUGGGGAAACCCGUGAGAGUUCGAGUCUCUCCUCCGACACCA